UUUUUCUGGGGGCGAAGCCAUGCCAAAUUGCAUCCCCACGUACCCUUGUUCCUAUAGAGCUGCAAUUGUGCAGCUGUAGUGUAUUAUUUAUCUGAAAAUAGAACGUCAAACUUUACCAAUAGUUAGAUCUUGUCGUUAGCUCCCUCGGGACAGUAGGCACGCUUUGUUUGGAGAGAAAACAAGAAAGUUGUGGUGGUUUUAGUGACAAGGAGGUCAGCUGCCGGCCAGAUCUGGAGGUCCGACUUUGGAAGGCGAGUGUUGGCGGACAGUAUUGAAUUUGGAGCUGAAACUUUUGUGGGGGAUGGUUCUUGUUGUCAGCUUUGCAAGGAUUAUUUGCACGCUUAGAUUGAGUAAAGGCCAAGGAAGUUAUGGUGGUUGGAGUGAAGAGGAGUCGGCCGUGGUGAAGAUGUAGCACUCCGCCAACUCAAGCUACUUUGGAAGGUCAUAUCUUGGAAUUCACUCAAGAUUUUCAAGAAAAAAUUGUUGGAGGUGAUGCGGCUUCAAUUCUAGUUUCUGGAAUGCUAAAGCAUAUGCGUUGCACAACUGGAAUGGAGCAAGGGCAAGGGUUUUUGUGGCCAGGGGUGCUCUGACUAGGCCGAGAAAGUCAGGCAACUUUGAGGCAAGAUUUCUUUUAGCUUAAUUGUUUUUUUGCAUUGAAUUUUGUUGGAGGACAAGCGCUUGUAAGUCUACUUUCUAAAAUAGCAAAUCUUGUUAUAAACAAGUUAGUGAUGCAACCAUUGUAGUGGAAUUCGUGCAAGGGGGUCGCUACCAUGACUUGGAAGGUGGCGACUUCCAAUUUUCUUUAAUUUUUAGGAUGAAUCUUGGAUGAAUUAGGUCAAUUGCACGAAUUGUCAGUUGGAUGAUAAGUUGACUUAUGGUUGGAUGAAUGAAUCUUUAGAUGAAAAUUGGAUGAACAAACUUUGAAUGAAUGAAUGUUAUAGGAUGAAUGAGAUUUAAAGGAUGGAUGAUUGAUGAAGGGAAAUUUAGGAUGAAUGAACUUAGGAUUUAUGGAUGAACUUAGGAUUUAUGAAUGAACUUAGGGUUUAUAAAAAUUGCGUGUGAGUGAAGUUAAUCCACUUGACUACUAAACGGAAUUAAAGGUGGAGGAAUUUAGCUCACAUAAAUGGUGUGUUUGCCGGGAGCCGAUCUUACAGACAUUGUCUAACAAUUUUUUUUUUUUUUUUUUUUUUUUUUUUUUUUGAGUUGAGAUGAUUGAUUACAUGGAGGAAGGAGAUAAUAGGAGCAAGAUGAUGGGGUCGUGAUUGGAAGGAGCACAGCAGAAGGUAUGUGGGUCUUGCGGAUAUCUAUGGUAGUUUGUGCUAGAAACCUUAGCAUGUGAUUGAGAGGCCGGUGGUAUACCAAUUGUGUAGGAAGUUGGAAUUGCAUGAGGUAAGCCAUCGUACAUUGAAUGAUCUAUGUUAACUUAGGAUUGUAAUUCAUCGUUGUCGUUGCCUUGUUAGUGGGUAAUGCCUCGGCAGUGAGCUGAAUUGAGAACGAGGGGGGUUCUGGCCACGAAGGUAGAAUCACAGUGUCUCGUUUACUGUCCGGGUAAGCCCUACAACAUAGGUUGUACCGUAUACCAAGAUUGGACUAUGGGGCUGGUUUGCCUUGGUGAAUUCCAUGUCAUCGCCCGUAAAUACUAUCUUGGUGGUUUGCAUUCCCUAUCCACCUAAGGGUAGGCUAGAUUAUUAAUUAUCAAUUUAAAAAUUUCAAAAAAAAAUGAGUUGGUAGAUAAUGAGAGAAGGUCAGUGAGGACGUUUAGAUGUUCCCAAAAACUAGAUCUCAAAAACCUACUUUGAACCAAGGACUUAAACGUAUUGGAAGACGCCGGGGCAAGGUCGUGGAUAACAAGGAAGCAGCCCCUUCUCGGAAUACACUCAUUAAUAGUAGAAGCAAUGAAGAAUUUCUUGGAAGAGACAUUAGAAGGAAUUUAGAAAAGGCUUUAGGAGACGUUGGGGGCAGCGAGCUAUUGGAAGAGUUGGAAGUGGAGGAGUUAGAGAUAGAACACGUAGACCCUGAAGAUGGAGUGUUUGGAGACGUGAACCUUAGGAAAAUAGGAGAACAGGAUAGGACCUUGGACUUUGUGCCUGCGGUCAAAGGAUUUGUUCACGAGAUGGCGAUGGAGCGGCUUCCAGCUUUGGAUCCCUUAGUUAGGCCACGAGGUUUGCCCGUGGCUAUGCCAGCAGGGCUAUUAGCGGCCACAGUUCCAGGGAAUCUCCCCAAGUUCUAUGGCACCAAGGACGAGGAUCCAACCCUACACAUAGAGAGGUACAUAGAGAUUUUGACAACAUCCCUCAUUGGGAACGAGGGGUAUUACUUGGUUUGGUUCCCUGGAACCUUACACGCUGAGGCUUACAAUUGGUACCGGGACCAUGAUGAGGGACAUUUUACCACGUGGUCCCAGUUGCAAGUAGCCUUCUUAAACCACUUUAGGCCGGAGGUUGGACAAAGUACAGCUUUGAGAGCAUUGGGAGUAGUACGACAGCAAAGAGAUGAGGAAAUGGCUAACUACAUCAGGAGGUUUGACUUGGUCUGCAUGCGUUAUGUAGGAGGAUUGUUGAAUGGCGAUACGUUAAAGCAAUUCUUCAUUGAAGGAUUUGCUAAUCGAUCUACAAUCAAGGAAGAUUAGAGAGAAACCCAGUCACUUUGGAGGAAGCCAAAACAGCGGCGCGCGUUGUAGAUUUAAUCGAGAAAAGUUAUGAAAGGCAUUAGAGGAAGGAAGAUGAGUCUAUCUUGGGGUUUAUUCCAAUUAAUCUCGUAAGCUAAGCGGUAGGACCAAGCACGUCAAGUACACCUCCGAUAGUCGAUAAUGGUGCCCAAUAUUACAAUGUCAUGCCCACGGCCACCAGAGCUCCGAUACCCUUAUUGGCGUUACCAGAGCCACAAUUGGAGAGGAGAGUGGAGGACUUGGAGAAAAAAAUACAAGCCGGAUAAGAAGGUUUUCAAGACUCCAUGAUGAAGCAGAUCCAAGCCUUGAUUGAGCAGAUGGCAUUCAUGGUAAAGAAUCAAAAUUCAAACACCCCACCUCCUCGGAUAGAGUCUGGUAACCAUAACUCGGGGGUUUGGUGCACUACUUGUAGCCAAAAUGGGCAUUCAUCUCUUCAGUGCCGAGUAAGGCCUCAAGGUAAUCCAAAUCCUCAACCAUACCAGCCAACACAGGGCUAUGGAAGAGAUAGAGGACCUCAGCAGCGGCAAGGAGGUUAUCAAGGUCGUCCUCAAGGAUAUGGUAGAAGUGACAAGCCUCGGAAGGAGUACCAUGAGCUUUGCAGGAGAUGGCAUGAGCCGGGUCAGUGCUGGGAUGAUGGCCAACCAUGGCCGUGUGGCAAUUGUGGUGGCAAUCACCCUACCCAUGAAUGUAGACAACCUGAUAAGGUAAUUCAACUACCACCACCAAUAACAAAUCCUUAUAAGAACAUGCGGAAUAACAUGAGAGAUCAGAGACGACCUCAUGGUGAUGAUCAGAGGGGCCUAAAACCUCCUAAUCUCUACUACAACUAUGAGGAUUUCAGACAAAACCAUCAACCUCCGGAAGGGUUACAAAUCCGCCAAGGUUAUAUCCCAGUUGCCCAAAAUCAACAAGGCGGCUAUCGAAACUAUGCAAACCAGAAACAAGGUCCAUCUUCUAACCAAGAUAUUAGAGUAGCAGAAGAGGUCUUAUUGAAGGGUCCUGCGCCAUCUCUAGGAAAGACCACAGUGGUGAUUGAAGAACAUGAAGCACCUUCUAAUUUAGUGACCCACGAAUUGAAGAAAGACGGAGGCGGUGGCCAUGAGAAUGCUACUUUGGCUGUAAUUACCCGAGGGCAAGCUCAUAGGCAAUCACCAAUCGAUGAAGAAGACUUAGAUAGUAGUGAGUCUGAAGAGUUGUUGGAUUUAGUAGCUCUUGAGGCGGCUGCAAAGGAGGCGGCAAGAAUUACAAGAGAGGUAGGCGUCGCGGUAGGUGAUGAAAGGUCAUCUUAAGGCUCUGAUCCACGUAAAGGGUUAAAAUCGGGUCAAUGGGAGGGUCCAGAUAUUCCAGAGGAGGAGUUUAGAGGAUUGGGUUGUACGACGCCAACCUCUUACCAGAAGUAUGAUCUCUGGAGGGACUUGCGGAGGAUAAAGGCUGACAUCUCAAUUGCUCAACUAUUGGAGAUAUCUCCUUUGAUGAGGAAGAGUUUCAAAGAAGGAUUGCCUAGGGCGAAGAGAAAGAAGAAGACUCAAAAGAGGAUAGUGGCUAGGGUACAAGCAUCUAUUAGGCCAGUGGAUGUGAAGGCAGUGGAGAUCGAGGUCACUAUCGUAGACAAGGUGGUUCCGAAUGUGCUCAUUGAUGGAGGUAGUGGGCUUAACAUCAUGCCACUUCAUACCAUGGAGAAAUUGGGGUUGAAUUUAACCGGACCUUCACCAUUUGUAUUAAACAUGGCAGAUCAGAGUCCUGCUAGGCCUUUAGGCCAGAUCACGAACUGUAAAAUCUCUAUAGGAGGGGAGGAUUACUUAGUGACCUUCCAUGUUAUCAGGAUGCACACUUCCAAAGAAUCUUUUUCACUUCUCUUAGGUCGUCCGUGGUUGAGGAUGGCCAAUGCCACCAUCAUGUGGGGUGGUGAUAAGCCCUCCAUAGUUUACGGUCCAUAUGAAAAUCCCACUAAAGUUAGAAUCAAGCCUUUGAUAGGACUCGAGGUAGUUGACACCAUAUCUAUUGGAGAAGGCACACCAUUAAAAUCCGUGGAUGGGAUGACGUUUGAAGUUGAGGUUCAAACCUUGAAGUGUCUUGGUCCAAAUCUCUACCAUUGGUCAGACAAUGGAGAGUAUGCCAAGUGGCUCCAAAACAACCCUGAUUCUUCAUCAGAAUUGACGGCAGGAUUGAAUUUCAUUGAAAUGGAGUUGGACGAUGGUUUGACACCUUUAAUUGAAGUAGAUGUCCAUUUGAUUAGAAUAGAGGAUGUUGAAGGAGUAGAGGUUUUAGAGGAAAGUGAGCAUUUGGGAGGAUCAUUGAAAUUUAAGACUGGUUCUUCGGGAAUUACGGUUGGAGAAGACGUUUUCAGUUAUCCCAAUGUGCCUUCAGAUUGGUAUCGAGAUAACAAUGAGCAAUGCCACAUUGCUAAGAAAGACUGGAGGUUUGUGACAGUGGAGUUUGAAGGAAAAGAACCAAGACAAAUGAAGAUGGGAAGCCAACUAGAGGAUGAAGAGAUCAAGGCCUACUGUGAGUUGGUAAGAGAGUAUCGGGAGGUCUUUGCAUGGUCUUACAAGGAGUUAAAGGGGAUUCCUCCUGAGAUUGUAGAACAUCGAAUUCCCUUGAUGACUGGUGCAGUACCAAUCAGGCAAAAAGAGAGGAGAAUGAAUCCUCAGCUUCAAUUGAUUGUGAAAGAGUAACUGGAGAAAUUACUCCAAGCAGGUUUUAUUAAACCUGUUGAGAUCACAGAUUGGGUCUCUCCCAUGGUGCUUGUAAAGAAGAAGAAUAGUAAACUUAGGGUGUGUGUGGAUUAUAGGAAGUUGAAUUUUUGCACCCAAAAAGACCACUUUCCCUUGCCAUUUAUCACUAGCAUCUUGGAAGAAGUGGCAGGUCACGAUUUAUACACAUUUAUGGAUGGAUAUUUUGGAUACAACCAAGUAUCUAUUACACCUGAAGAUCGACACAAGACUGCAUUUACAACACCUUGAGGGACGUUUGUGUGGCAUGUGAUGCCAUUUGGAUUAUGUAACGCCCCUGCUACUUUCCAACAUCUGGUGAUGUCUAUCUUCUCAGACUUAUUAUACAAAUCAAUGAUCGUGUUCAUUGAUGAUUUCAGCACCCAAUCUGAUGCAAAUUCUCACAUUCAUUUGGUGAAAGAAAGCUUAGAGAGGUGCAAGAAAGCUCGAAUGGUCCUGAAUCCAGAAAAAACCUAUCUUGCCUUGACUAGAGGCAUUUUGUUGGGAUAUAUGGUUAGUAAGAGGGGUCAUGAGCCCGAACCAGAAAAGGUGAAGGUAAUUCAGAAUUUAUCACCUCCUACUAGUGUGAAGGAAGUGCAACGUGUAUUGGGACAUACCGGUUGGUAUAGGGAGUUGAUUGAAGAUUACCCACUAUUACACUUCCCAUCACUAGCCUUCAGAAGAAAGGCACCAAAUUUAUAUGGACUCAGGCUUGUAAUGAUGCUUUCGAGGUUCUAAAGAAGGAAUUGUCUUCUUAUCCAAUAUUGAGGCCCCCGAGGUGGGACUUACCUUUCCACAUCUAUUGUGAUGCAAGUGCGGUGGCGGUUGGCAACAUUCUGUGCCAACUUGUAGAAGGCCGAAGCAAGGGCAAGGAUCAUCCAAUUGCCUACGCUAGUAGGCAAUUAAAUCUUGCAGAGAAAAAUUAUUCCACCACUGAGAGGGAAUGUCUAGCCAUGGUGUUCUCAGCUAAGAAGUUUAGACAUUAUCUGUUGAGCAACAAAGUGGUUUUUUAUGUGGAUCACAUGGCCAUCAAGUAUUUAGUUAACAAACCUGAGUUGAGCUGUCGGCUAGCUAGGUGGGUCUUGUUGCUACAAGAGUUUGAUUACACUGUGGAGUAAAAACCUGGAUCCAUACACAAACAAGCAGAUCACAUGUCGAGAUUACUUGGAGGAAUAGAGACCCACCCAAUUGAUGAUAGAUUGAUAGACGAGAGUCUUUUCUUGGUGACAGCUAGACCAGCAUGGUAUUCUAGGAUUAUUGAGUUCUUGACUACUCAACAAUUGCCAGUGGAUUUAUCCAAGGACGAGAGGCGAAAGAUUCGGGUCAAUAGUCAUCAUUUUGUGGUGUUAGGGAACCGGUUGUAUCGACGUGGAUUGGAUGGAGUGUUAUGAUUGUGUGAUGGAAGAUGAGGUUCCUUCCAUUUUGUCGGCUUGUCAUGACAGUGCGUGUAGCAGACAUUUUUCUGGCCAAUUGACUGGUGAGAAAAUUCUUAGGACUGGUUAUUACUGGCCAACAAUCUUCAAGGACGCUCAUAUCUAUGUGAGGCGUUGUGAUGCAUGUCAGAGAUUUGCUAGGAAUGACCUUCACAUGCACUUGCCGCUUCACAUUUCCCUACCAUUGGUGCCAUUCGAGAAGUGGGGCAUCGAUUACGUGGGAGAGAUUCAUCCUCAUUCAUCUCGAGAAAUGGCAUAUAUUGUAGUGGCCACUGAAUAUAUCACUAAGUGGGCUGAAGCCAAGGCUGUGAGGACAAAUGAUGCCAAGAAUGUUGCAAUCUUUCUCUUUGAGAAUGUGAUUACUAGAUUUGGAGUCCCGAAGAUCCUUAUGAGUGAUCGAGGUACUCAUUUCCUCAACAAGGUGAUUGAAUCCAUGACUGAGCGAUUCCAUAUUGAUCACCGAAAGACUACACCCUAUCACCCUCAAACCAAUGUGCAGACAGAGCGAGUCAACCAAACACUUGGUACUAUAUUGAGGAAAACUGUUAGAGACUCCAAGCGUGAUUGGGAUGUGAAACUGCCAGCCGCCUUAUGGACAUAUAGAACAACAUUCAAGGUCACCACACAGGCUACGCCAUUCUCUCUAGUCUAUGGACUGGAAGCAGUUUUAUCAAUUGAGUUUGAGGUUCCAUCCCUUCGGAUUGCAGUAGAUUCCAGAUUGACUGACAGACAAUCUUUAAAGACAAGGUUGUACGAGCUCGAGGCAUUGGAUGAGAGCAAAAGACGAGGGGCUCAAAACAUUGAAGCCAUCCAGAGGCGACGCAAGGUCGUGUUUGAUAAACGGAACAAGACUCGGAUCUUGCAACCUGGUAUGCUAGUAUUGUUACAAGAUGCUCGAAAGAUCGACUUUCCAAGCAAGUUUGAUGCCGUAUGGUUGGGUCCUUAUCUUGUCAAGGAGGUAUUUUUAAACAACUCCGUGCAAUUGGAGACCUUGAAUGGUCAAUUGUUUCCCACACGAACAUCAGGUAGUAGGUGUAAAGAAUAUAAGAUAUGAAGGAGCGCAAUUUUGGGCAAGAGCUCCACCUUUCUAUCUUAUGAUAAGGCGAUAGUAUGAACUGGCAUGGUGAAAAUACUUUAAAGGACAAAAAUUGGCAAGUACAAGUUGGAUUCGUCCCCUGAUAGUCCCAAUUAUGUGAGCCCAAAAGUUGGUUCACAUUGUUGGUUAAACUAAAAAAAUCUAAAAAAAAUGAGGAUUUUGAUUAUGUUUUAUUAUAAUAAGUUAGUUAUAGACAUUAAUGUUAGUGGCUUAUUGAUGAUUAGUAGUGGAAAGAAAAAUCAAGGGAGAAGGGAGUGGAAAGAAAGAUAAGAAAAAGAGCCAAAAGAAAAAAAAAAGGAAAAAAAAAAAAAAAAAACAAAAAGGCCAAGAAGAAAGAAGGAAGAAGAUGAAGAGGGACAAGGAGAAGAAAAAGAAAAAGGAGAAGAAAAUAAUUAGAAGUAAAUUUAUUGUGAUGGGUUUGUCAAAUUGUUGGUUCUUAAUGAUCUAGAACUUAGAUUUGGGUGUAUGAAUAGUCAAACUUGAUGUUUAAAUAUGUUUUAAACACAUUGGUGGAGUUAGUUUUGUCAAAAAACGCUUCGAAUUGGAGAUUUUGGGCAUGUCCAGAACUAAAAUCGGGUUUAGGACUUAGGGUUAAUGUGGGCCCUUGAUCUUGAUUAGGGUUGGUGGAUUCGGAUGGUGGAGAUGUGGCCGCCACCCUUUGGUCUCUUCCUACUUGGAUAAGAGGGUGGGGGUGGCCACACUCGCUCUCUCUCUCUCUUUUUUUUCUGGGGGCGAAGCCAUGCCAAAUUGCAUCCCCACGUACCCUUGUUCCUAUAGAGCUGCAAUUGUGCAGCUGUAGUGUAUUAUUUAUCUGAAAAUAGAACGUCAAACUUUACCAAUAGUUAGAUCUUGUCGUUAGCUCCCUCGGGACAGUAGGCACGCUUUGUUUGGAGAGAAAACAAGAAAGUUGUGGUGGUUUUAGUGACAAGGAGGUCAGCUGCCGGCCAGAUCUGGAGGUCCGACUUUGGAAGGCGAGUGUUGGCGGACAGUAUUGAAUUUGGAGCUGAAACUUUUGUGGGGGAUGGUUCUUGUUGUCAGCUUUGCAAGGAUUAUUUGCACGCUUAGAUUGAGUAAAGGCCAAGGAAGUUAUGGUGGUUGGAGUGAAGAGGAGUCGGCCGUGGUGAAGAUGUAGCACUCCGCCAACUCAAGCUACUUUGGAAGGUCAUAUCUUGGAAUUCACUCAAGAUUUUCAAGAAAAAAUUGUUGGAGGUGAUGCGGCUUCAAUUCUAGUUUCUGGAAUGCUAAAGCAUAUGCGUUGCACAACUGGAAUGGAGCAAGGGCAAGGGUUUUUGUGGCCAGGGGUGCUCUGACUAGGCCGAGAAAGUCAGGCAACUUUGAGGCAAGAUUUCUUUUAGCUUAAUUGUUUUUUUGCAUUGAAUUUUGUUGGAGGACAAGCGCUUGUAAGUCUACUUUCUAAAAUAGCAAAUCUUGUUAUAAACAAGUUAGUGAUGCAACCAUUGUAGUGGAAUUCGUGCAAGGGGGUCGCUACCAUGACUUGGAAGGUGGCGACUUCCAAUUUUCUUUAAUUUUUAGGAUGAAUCUUGGAUGAAUUAGGUCAAUUGCACGAAUUGUCAGUUGGAUGAUAAGUUGACUUAUGGUUGGAUGAAUGAAUCUUUAGAUGAAAAUUGGAUGAACAAACUUUGAAUGAAUGAAUGUUAUAGGAUGAAUGAGAUUUAAAAGAUGGAUGAUUGAUGAAGGGAAAUUUAGGAUGAAUGAACUUAGGAUUUAUGGAUGAACUUAGGGUUUUUGGAUGAACUUAGGAUUUAUGGAUGAACUUAGGAUUUAUGGAUGAACUUAGGAUUUAUGAAUGAACUUAGGAUUGAUGGAUGAACUUAGGAUUUAUGAAUGAACUUAGGGUUUAUAAAAAUUGCGUGUAAGUGAAGUUAAUCCACUUGACUACUAAAUGCAAUUAAAGGUGGAGGAAUUUAGCUCACAAAAGCUUAUAAGAAUUUUUUAUAGAAGAUAUUAUAGAAUUAACCUAUCUUUAUCUAUUUUUAUCUUAUCAUAUAG
rnacentral:lncRNA from 1 species